rfam:Spinacia oleracea cultivar SynViroflay scaffold12857.con0007.1, whole genome shotgun sequence.
AAAGGCCGGUGAUGAUCUUUUCGAUAAUUUGCCUACAUUGUAUGAUUUUACAGUGAUAAAAAAAUAUCCAAAUCUGAGGCCUUU